CAGAUCAGUGAUAGAAAUGAAAUCCUACAUUACUUUUAUUCCAAGUUUGACAAAUCCUACAUUGCUGGCUUAUGUAAAGAACUUGCUAAAGGUGCCAAAGAGAAAAAAGACCAGAUAUGUCUGGAACUUUUCAGACAAGCUGGGGAAAUUCUAGCAGAACACAUUCUUGGAGUUGGACCAAGAAUUGCAGAGGAAUUACUGAACACACCCAGUGGAUUACAGGUUGUCACAGUAGGGUCUGUCUGGAAAAGCUGGGACCUCAUGAAGGACGGU